CCUACGGGUGGCUGCAGUGGGGAAUUUUGGACAAUGGGGGCAACCCUGAUCCAGCCAUGCCGCGUGAGUGAAGAAGGCCUUCGGGUUGUAAAGCUCUUUCGGACGGGAAGAAAUAGUUCGGGCCAAUACCCCGGACCGAUGACGGUACCGUUAGAAGAAGCACCGGCUAACUACGUGCCAGCAGCCGCGGUAAUACGUAGGGUGCGAGCGGGAAUCGGGAGUACUGGGCGUAUAGCGUACGCCGGAGGUGAAAGCCCCGGGCUUAACCUGGGAACUGCGUUUGUGACUGCAAGACUAGAGUUCGGCAGAGGGGGGUGGAAUUCCACGUGUAGCAGUGAAAUGCGUAGAUAUGUGGAGGAACACCGAUGGCGAAGGCAGCCCCCUGGGCCGUGACUGACGCUCAUGCACGAAAGCGUGGGGAGCAAACAGGAUUAGAUACCCCUGUAGUC
rnacentral:rRNA from 1 species